UACGUAGGUGGCAAGCGUUGUCCGGAUUUACUGGGCGUAAAGAGCGCGCAGGCGGUCGUGCAAGUCGGGUGUGAAAGCCCCCGGCUCAACUGGGGAGGGUCACGCGAUACUGAUCGACUCGAAGGCAGGAGAGGGAAGUGGAAUUCCCGGUGUAGUAGUGAAAUGCGUAGAUAUCGGGAGGAACACCAGUGGCGAAGGCGACUUCCUGGCCUGUUCUUGACGCUGAGGCGCGAAAGCUAGGGGAGCAAACGGG
rnacentral:rRNA from 1 species